CGCUCUCAUUUCAGUGCCUUCACGUGGCGAGAGUGUUUAAACCAAACUGAA
rnacentral:ribozyme from 1 species